rnacentral:lncRNA from 10 species
GUAUAGUGGAAGCCAACCCAGGCAAGUUCAAGCUCCCAGCCGGGGACCUGCAGGAGAGAAAGGUGUUCGUGGAGCGGAUGCGAGAGGCAGUCCAGGAAAUGAAGGACCAUAUGGUCAGCCCAACAGCCGUAGCAUUUUUGGAGAGGAAUAACAGAGAGAUGAGGAAACUGAGGCACAAGGAAGCCAAAUGAUGGGGUCUCUGGGUCACCUUGCUAGUAAGUGAUACUCGCAGGCAAGCCAGCUGCCCAGAAGUCACCCAGCGACCUGCUGGAUGCCAGCGCAGUCUCGGCCACAUCUCGCUACAUCGAGGAGCAG